AGCAGCAUGGCGCAGUGGCAGCGCGCGGGGCCCAUACACUGGUCACCCCGAGGUCACUCGAUCGAAACGAGUUGCUGCUA